rnacentral:rRNA from 1 species
CCUACGGGAGGCAGCAGUGGGGAAUAUUGCACAAUGGGGGAAACCCUGAUGCAGCGACGCCGCGUGAGUGAAGAAGGAAUUCGUUAUGUAAAGCUCUAUCAGCAGGGAAGAAAAUGACGGUCCCUGAGUAAGAAGCCCCGGCUCACUACAUGCCAGCCGCCGCGGUAAUACGUAGGGGGCAAGCGUUAUCCGGAUUUACUGGGUGUAACGGGAGCGUAGACGGCAGUGCAAGUCUGGAGGGAAAGGCGGGGGCUCAACCCCCGGACUGCUGUGGAAACUGUACGGCUGGAGUGCAGGAGAGGUAAGGGGAAUUCGUAGUGUAGCGGUGAAAUGCGUAGAUAUUAGGAGGAACACCAGUGGCGAAGGCGGCUUACUGGACUGUAACUGACGUUGAGGCUCGAAAGCGUGGGGAGCAAACAGGAUUAGAUACCCCUGUAGUC